GAUGAACGCUGGCGGCGUGCCUAAUACAUGCAAGUCGAGCGAACGGACGAGAAGCUUGCUUCUCUGAUGUUAGCGGCGGACGGGUGAGUAACACGUGGAUAACCUACCUAUAAGACUGGGAUAACUUCGGGAAACCGGAGCUAAUACCGGAUAAUAUUUUGAACCGCAUGGUUCAAAAGUGAAAGACGGUCUUGCUGUCACUUAUAGAUGGAUCCGCGCUGCAUUAGCUAGUUGGUAAGGUAACGGCUUACCAAGGCAACGAUGCAUAGCCGACCUGAGAGGGUGAUCGGCCACACUGGAACUGAGACACGGUCCAGACUCCUACGGGAGGCAGCAGUAGGGAAUCUUCCGCAAUGGGCGAAAGCCUGACGGAGCAACGCCGCGUGAGUGAUGAAGGUCUUCGGAUCGUAAAACUCUGUUAUUAGGGAAGAACAUAUGUGUAAGUAACUGUGCACAUCUUGACGGUACCUAAUCAGAAAGCCACGGCUAACUACGUGCCAGCAGCCGCGGUAAUACGUAGGUGGCAAGCGUUAUCCGGAAUUAUUGGGCGUAAAGCGCGCGUAUGCGGUUUUUUAAGUCUGAUGUGAAAGCCCACGGCUCAACCGUGGAGGGUCAUUGGAAACUGGAAAACUUGAGUGCAGAAGAGGAAAGUGGAAUUCCAUGUGUAGCGGUGAAAUGCGCAGAGAUAUGGAGGAACACCAGUGGCGAAGGCGACUUUCUGGUCUGUAACUGACGCUGAUGUGCGAAAGCGUGGGGAUCAAACAGGAUUAGAUACCCUGGUAGUCCACGCCGUAAACGAUGAGUGCUAAGUGUUAGGGGGUUUCCGCCCCUUAGUGCUGCAGCUAACGCAUUAAGCACUCCGCCUGGGGAGUACGACCGCAAGGUUGAAACUCAAAGGAAUUGACGGGGACCCGCACAAGCGGUGGAGCAUGUGGUUUAAUUCGAAGCAACGCGAAGAACCUUACCAAAUCUUGACAUCCUUUGACAACUCUAGAGAUAGAGCCUUCCUCUUCGGGGGACAAAGUGACAGGUGGUGCAUGGUUGUCGUCAGCUCGUGUCGUGAGAUGUUGGGUUAAGUCCCGCAACGAGCGCAACCCUUAAGCUUAGUUGCCAUCAUUAAGUUGGGCACUCUAAGUUGACUGCCGGUGACAAACCGGAGGAAGGUGGGGAUGACGUCAAAUCAUCAUGCCCCUUAUGAUUUGGGCCACACACGUGCUACAAUGGACAAUACAAAGGGCAGCGAAACCGCGAGGUCAAGCAAAUCCCAUAAAGUUGUUCUCAGUUUGGAUUGUAGUCUGCAACUCGACUACAUGAAGCUGGAAUCGCUAGUAAUCGUAGAUCAGCAUGCUACGGUGAAUACGUUCCCGGGUCU
rnacentral:rRNA from 1 species